rnacentral:rRNA from 1 species
AUACGGAGGGGGUUAGCGUUGUUCGGAAUUACUGGGCGUAAAGCGCACGUAGGCGGAUUGGAAAGUUGGGGGUGAAAUCCCAGGGCUCAACCCUGGAACUGCCUCCAAAACUAACAGUCUAGAGUUCGAGAGAGGUGAGUGGAAUUCCAAGUGUAGAGGUGAAAUUCGUAGAUAUUUGGAGGAACACCAGUGGCGAAGGCGGCUCACUGGCUCGAUACUGACGCUGAGGUGCGAAAGCGUGGGGAGCAAACAGGAUUAGAUACCCGAGUAGUCC